rnacentral:rRNA from 1 species
ACAAUGGAGAGUUUGAUCCUGGCUCAGGAUGAACGCUAGCUACAGGCUUAACACAUGCAAGUCGAGGGGAAACGAUAGAGAAAGCUUGCUUUUUCUAGGCGUCGACCGGCGCACGGGUGAGUAACGCGUAUCCAAUCUGCCCACCACUUGGGGAUAACCUUGCGAAAGUAAGACUAAUACCCAAUGACGUCCAUAGAAGACAUCUGAAAUGGAUUAAAGAUUUAUCGGUGAUGGAUGGGGAUGCGUCUGAUUAGC